UACGGAAGGCAGCAGUGGGGAAUAUUGCACAAUGGGCGCAAGCCUGAUGCAGCCAUGCCGCGUGUAUGAAGAAGGCCUUCGGGUUGUAAAGUACUUUCAGCGGGGAGGAAGGCGGUGGAGUUAAUAGCUUCACCGAUUGACGUUACCCGCAGAAGAAGCACCGGCUAACUCCGUGCCAGCAGCCGCGGUAAUACGGAGGGUGCAAGCGUUAAUCGGAAUUACUGGGCGUAAAGCGCACGCAGGCGGUCUGUCAAGUCGGAUGUGAAAUCCCCGGGCUUAACCUGGGAACUGCAUUCGAAACUGGCAGGCUAGAGUCUUGUAGAGGGGGUAGAAUUCCAGGUGUAGCGGUGAAAUGCGUAGAGAUCUGGAGGAAUCCGGUGGCGAAGGCGGCCCCUGGGACAAAGCUGACGCUCAGGUGCGAAAGCGUGGGGAGCAAACGAGGAUUAGGAUACC
rnacentral:rRNA from 1 species